rnacentral:rRNA from 1 species
UACGAAGGGGGCUAGCGUUGCUCGGAAUCACUGGGCGUAAAGGGUGCGUAGGCGGGUUUUUAAGUCAGAGGUGAAAUCCUGGAGCUCAACUCCAGAACUGCCUUUGAUACUGAAAGUCUUGAGUAUGGGAGAGGUGAGUGGAACUGCGAGUGUAGAGGUGAAAUUCGUAGAUAUUCGCAAGAACACCAGUGGCGAAGGCGGCUCACUGGCCCAUUCUGACGCUGAGGCACGAAAGCGUGGGGAGCAAACAGG